UACGUAGGGCGCAAGCGUUGUCCGGAAUUAUUGGGCGUAAAGAGCUCGUAGGCGGUCUGUUACGUCUGCUGUGAAAACCCGCGGCUCAACCGUGUGGUCUGCAGUCGAUACGGGCAGGCUAGAGUUCGGUAGGGGAGACUGGAAUUCCUGGUGUAGCGGUGAAAUGCGCAGAUAUCAGGAGGAACACCAGCGGCGAAGGCGGCGCUCUGGGCCGGAACUGACGCUGAGGAGCGAAAGCGUGGGGAGCAAACAGG
rnacentral:rRNA from 1 species